CAUUCCUCUUUGCUGCCGGCACCGCAUGAGCAAAAGGACAAAUACCGUCCUCCAGUCAAAACGGGGCACGUCAAGCUUCCGUAAGGGACAAUUGAUUCGGAAAAAAGGGACAAGGACCCCGACCGAUCAUUGUUUCUACAUACAAGACUUCGAGCGAAACUUGGGCGUACAAUGCCUGCUAGCUAAAUAAGCAAAGCAAGGGCGAACGUCCACUAGUGCUUCAGGGUCUACAUCGCACAAAACUUUUUGGCACGAGAUAGAGUAGGGACUGUGGGACUAGAGAAUUCCAUCAAAAUAGGUAUGCUGCACAGGGGUCCAGGCCAAUCCAAGGCAAAAGAUUUUGCACUCGAACAGAAUUGAACAGGUGUGAACCAGUGGUUGUCGCUGCCGAAGCAGGGAACCAACCAACCGGAACAAACCAAUCACUACUCAUGCGCUACACGUACAACAUGCCACCAUCACAGCUAGGUACAAGCCCCCCAAAGACACGAAAGUCUAGGAGGACUUGNCCAUAACAAAUGAAGGCAACAAGCACCGCUUCNCGCGAAUCCAAACACACGGGGAC
rnacentral:misc_RNA from 1 species